ensembl:lncRNA
GUGUCCCCAGGGCACUUUGUUCUGUGGAGCGGGUAUGGGGCGGGAGGUUGGGACGAGUUGGGAACACCGCAGGUUUCGUGGUGGUGAAGUCUGCAGUGGGAGCAGAGCUCCUGAAGGAGUUGCUUCAGUGGCCUGGGACUGCUGGGAAGGUCCUCUAUAGUGGCAGAGGAAAGCAGGGAAGGGGAGAAGAGCCCCACUAAGAGUAACAGAAGUGAUCUCCAUGUUGUGAUGAAGGACUGUAAUUCAUCUCCUCCAUGCAUUUAUAAGUUGCUCAUUUCUUCAACGUUAUUUUUUGUCUAAUCAAUGCAGUGAAAAGCAGAGCUCUGAAACGUUGACUGUAUCUGUUGUGGAAACAGUGAUUCAAGGGCAGCAAAGGGAAAACUGGACAUCACUGAAGAAGACAGAUGAGAUAUUUAGGUCUGGAAUAAAAAAUGCAUGUUUUGGAUAUAACAGUAAUGCUUUCACCAACUCUUUCCCCUCCCUCAUGAAUUUAGGCAAGUCAAUGACGUCUAUGCUUGCUUAAUUAUAAAGCUUCAUUAUUUCCUAUACCACGAAGUCUGCUUUUUGUUUUUAUAGAGGCUUGGCAUAAUCUUUUUUUAUAAAUGCCAAGAACAAUUCCAGUUAGCUUGUGGGUAAUAGUGAUCAAUUGUAGCAGAAAGAAGUCUGAAGUCACAUAGCUUUGACUUGUGCAUAGCUCUGCUGAGUCGUCUGAUGCCUCUUUCCUGAUGAGCAACAAUCUACCAAACUGUCUCUAACUGACCAUGAGGAGAACAUCCAAUUAUCCUGCACCAUCAGAGGUAUGAUGUAUGCGUGUGUAUAUAUAAACCACAUUUUGUAGUCUGGAGACACAGAGGGCAUAUAUCAUCAGACUAUUUUUUACCCUUUUCAGUACUGGCUGGCAUUUUCUGAAUGGAAAGUUUAAAAUGCACAUUCUUCCAAGCAGGACAACC